GUCAGUGAUGAAAACGUGGAAUAGGAAGUGCCGUCUGAUGCGACAACUGACGAUUGUUUAUAUAAUCCACUUUUCUGAGU